AUUGAACGCUGGCGGAAUGCUUUACACAUGCAAGUCGAACGGUAGAGGGGGCAACCCCUCGAGAGUGGCGAACGGGUGAGUAAUAUAUCGGAACGUGCCCAGUCGUGGGGGAUAACGUAGCGAAAGUUACGCUAAUACCGCAUACGAUCUAUGGAUGAAAGCGGGGGAUCGCAAGACCUCGCGCGAUUGGAGCGGCCGAUAUCAGAUUAGGUAGUUGGUGGGGUAAAGGCCCACCAAGCCAACGAUCUGUAGCUGGUCUGCGAGGACGACCAGCCAAACUGGAACUGAGACACGGUCCAGACUCCUACGGGAGGCAGCAGUGGGGAAUUGUGGACAAUGGGCGAAAGCCUGGUCCAGCCAUUCCGCGUGCAGGAUGAAGGCCCUCGGGUUGUAAACUGCUUUUGUACAGAACGAAAAGGUCUCUACUAAUACUAGGAGCUCAUGACGGUACUGUAAGAAUAAGCACCGGCUAACUACGUGCCAGCAGCCGCCGUAA
rnacentral:rRNA from 1 species